rnacentral:rRNA from 1 species
UGAUCUCCCGCAUUGCGGGAGUGAUUAGUGGCGAACGGGUGAGUAAUACGUGAGUAACCUGCCCUUGACUCUGGGAUAAGCCUGGGAAACCGGGUCUAAUACUGGAUACGACUCCUCAUCGCAUGGUGGGGGGUGGAAAGGGUUUGACUGGUUUUGGAUGGGCUCACGGCCUAUCAGCUUGUUGGUGGGGUAAUGGCUCACCAAGGCGACGACGGGUAGCCGGCCUGAGAGGGUGACCGGCCACACUGGGACUGAGACACGGCCCAGACUCCUACGGGAGGCAGCAGUGGGGAAUAUUGCACAAUGGGCGCAAGCCUGAUGCAGCGACGCCGCGUGAGGGAUGACGGCCUUCGGGUUGUAAACCUCUUUCAGCAGGGAAGAAGCCACAAGUGACGGUACCUGCAGAAGAAGCGCCGGCUAACUACGUGCCAGCAGCCGCGGUAAUACGUAGGGCGCAAGCGUUGUCCGGAAUUAUUGGGCGUAAAGAGCUCGUAGGCGGUUUGUCGCGUCUGCUGUGAAAGCCCGGGGCUCAACCCCGGGUCUGCAGUGGGUACGGGCAGACUAGAGUGCAGUAGGGGAGACUGGAAUUCCUGGUGUAGCGGUGAAAUGCGCAGAUAUCAGGAGGAACACCGAUGGCGAAGGCAGGUCUCUGGGCUGUUACUGACGCUGAGGAGCGAAAGCAUGGGGAGCGAACAGGAUUAGAUACCCUGGUAGUCCAUGCCGUAAACGUUGGGCACUAGGUGUGGGGGACAUUCCACGUUCUCCGCGCCGUAGCUAACGCAUUAAGUGCCCCGCCUGGGGAGUACGGCCGCAAGGCUAAAACUCAAAGGAAUUGACGGGGGCCCGCACAAGCGGCGGAGCAUGCGGAUUAAUUCGAUGCAACGCGAAGAACCUUACCAAGGCUUGACAUUCACCGGACCGCCUCAAAGAUGGGGUUUCCCUUCGG